rnacentral:rRNA from 1 species
GACGAACGCUGGCGGCGCGCCUAACACAUGCAAGUCGAACGGUGAAGAGGAGCUUGCUCCUCGGAACAGUGGCGGACGGGUGAGUAACACGUGAGCAACCUGGCUCUAAGAGGGGGACAACAGUUGGAAACGACUGCUAAUACCGCAUGACGUAUCGGGAUGGCAUCUUCCUGAUACCAAGGAUUUUAUCGCUUAGAGAUGGGCUCGCGUCUGAUUAGAUAGUUGGCGGGGUAACGGCCCACCAAGUCGACGAUCAGUAGCCGGACUGAGAGGUUGAACGGCCACAUUGGGACUGAGACACGGCCCAGACUCCUACGGGAGGCAGCAGUGGGGGAUAUUGGACAAUGGGGGCAACCCUGAUCCAGCGACGCCGCGUGAGGGAAGAAGGUUUUCGGAUUGUAAACCUCUGUUGACGGAGAAAAAAAUGAUGGUAUCCGUUUAGAAAGCCACGGCUAACUACGUG